CAUGUGGUUUAAUUCGAAUGAUACGCGAGGAACCUUACCUGGGCUAGAAUGCCGGUGGACCGGGGGUGAAAGCUCCCUUUCCAGCAAUGGACCGCCGGUAAGGUGCUGCAUGGCUGUCGUCAGCUCGUGCCGUGAGGUGUUGGGUUAAGUCCCGCAACGAGCGCAACCCCCAUCAUUAGUUGCCAUCAGGUAAAGCUGGGAACUCUAAUGAAACUGCCGUCGUAAGACGUGAGGAAGGAGGGGAUGAUGUCAAGUCAUCAUGGCCUUUAUGCCCAGGGCUACACACGUGCUACAAUGGAGGGGACAAAGGGCUGCCACUUGGCGACAAGGAGCUAAUCCCAAAAACCCCUUCUCAGUUCAGAUUGCAGUCUGCAACUCGACUGCAUGAAGCUGGAAUCGCUAGUAAUCGUAGAUCAGCAAUGCUACGGUGAAUACAUUCCCGGACCUUGCACACACCGCCCGUCAAGCCAUGGAAGCCGGGUGUACCUAAAGUCGGUAACCGCAAGGAGCCGCCUAGGGUAAAACUGGUGACUGGGGCUAAGUCGUAACAAGGUAACCGUAAA
rnacentral:rRNA from 1 species